GUUUGAUUUCCUCCCUUCUGUAAUAAGCAGCCAAUUAGUUAUUUUUCCUUUAUUCAUGUGUUUAAUCUGAUACUGUUAUAGCGCCGGCUAAACUGUUUAUGUAUGCACUGCAGAGGCUAAGAAGACGCAUGGAAACUCUAAAAGAAACGUAAUUCAACUUGUAAACCAGAUUUCAAAAGGAAAUAAUGAAUCCCGAAGCUCAGAUGUCAGACACCGAGGCUGCCAGUACCUCUGGGUCGAUAGUCCAUGUGUUGGAUGAUGCACCGCCGUUGAUCAGAACAGACAGCGUAUAUCCACACAGGUCGCACCAACCACUCCCCUUUACUGACCAGUAGGAGAGAAGUGCCCCUUUGAAAUCCUCUUGACCCCCUUGGUCCCACUGGAAGACAAGCCUCCUAUCAAGCAGUGGCACAUGCCCGCAUCCCGUGCCAAGGCUGAGCGGGAAUGGGAGAAUAGCCAACGGGAGCGCAGGAAGAGAGUGAAGCCAAUUCACUGGGACGUUAACUUUAAGUCUGGGCCUUUCUUCCCAGUGUGUGUCACUCCAUCACUGCCCUCGAUCUUGGAGAUGGACGAAGAGUCUCUGUCUGAAGAGAUGGAGCAAAGCCAGUUGUAGGGGGUCGCGCACACACACAUUCAUUUUCAUUUAUAUACCUUUAUUUAAAUAGGCAAGUUAGUUAAGUACAAAUUCUUAUUUACAAUGACGACCUACCCCAGCAAAACCCUAACCCGGACGGCACUGGGCCAAUUGUGUGCCACCCUACAGGACCAGUGCCUUAGACCAAUCGGGAGCGUUAUUGAGACCUCAUGGCCUACCAUGGACCAGAGAGGAUCAGCCAGCAUCAUCCCAGCGUCUGCCCUGCCUGCCAUCCUAGUACCUCCACUGCCCUUUCAACCCCAAACCACAAAGGGCAGGUGACAGAAGUGAUCCAGCGCCCAACGAUCCAGGCUGUUCUGCAUGAGCAGCAGCAGCUACUGUCGGAAGUACUGUUGGAACAGACUUUUCCAAUGAGAUCCAACAGGAGCCACAAGCUUUCAAAGUACUUUCAUCCCUGGGUGUGGAGCUUCUCGAACAAUGUUCUCUUCCUGAAGAUGGACUGCUUAAACCCCUUGGGAGUAUCCAGAGUAUCUAGUACGCUGGUGUGAUGAUAGAAUAUGUCCCUCAUUAUCAACUAGAGAUUAAUAUUAAUCCACUUGUUAUUCUAGUUUGGCAAAUGUUAAUUUAUCAUCAGCAUGUUCCAAAG
ensembl:lncRNA